UUAGCGCGGCGACGAGACGCGACUGCGACGAAAACAAACGAAAUUGUUUUUCUAUUGCGAUUUGCGAUUAGUCGUCAAUAUGGCUUCAACAGAGGAGGACGUUUCUGAGGUUUUAAUUGCAGAAAUUCAAGCAAGACCUGCAGUUUGGAACACAAAACUGACGUCAUAUAAGAAUAGACAUUUAAGGGACAAACUUUAUAUAGAGGUAGGAGAGAUUUUGGGAUUAAAAACGAAACUGUAGCCGCUCGUUGGAACAAUAAAAAGAAUACGUAUCGCCGUGAGUUGAAAAAAAUUCCAAAAUCUCGUUCUGGAGAUGGAGCCAGCAACUUUUCAUCUUCUUGACCAUAUUUUCAUAUGAUGUCGUUUUUAAAAGAUAUUAUGACUCCGGCCACCAAAUAUGGGAACUUAUCUUCUGCCCAGCAUGAAGAUAAGGAUAAUUCUGAAGAUGACAAUGAUGAGGAAUCCAAUCCAAUGUUGAUCCAAGAUCUCGGGAUCCGGUAUCAGAAUCAUCAGCGUCGCAACCUGUGACCAGACCAUCAUCUUCGGCUUCUUCUAGAACGACCAAGACGAAUAGAAAAGAACUGCACCAAAAGAGACCGUUUUUUUGAACUUGAAAACAAGAAGCUGCAGCUCUUAUCCCAAACCUUGGUUCAAGAUCCACCUGUAGCAGCUCCAGAAUGUGAUGAUUUAAUUUUUUAAAAGUCUGAUACCAUAUAUGAACAAAUUUCAACCGAUUCAAAAAAUCCAGCAAGUCAUUAUAGACGAAAUGUCGCGCACUGAAACCUGGAGACCUGAACCACUACAAACCCAUUCUGCCAAAAAAUUUAACACCACUGCAGCCACUAUAUCCUAAUAAUAGCAUUAUUCAAGAGAGUACCAUAUCAGCAUUUCCACCGGGAUUUUACCCAUAUACAUAAUCAAUAAGUAAGUUCCCGAUAUAUGUAUCUAUAUAGGUAAUACAUGUAUAUUAUGUAUAUUACGUAUAUUUUGUUUUUUGAGUUGUUUUUUUAUUACUUAAUAAGAAUUCAUGUUUUUUUUGUUAAAUAUAUUUUUAUAUACGAGUA